UUUUUUUCCACUGCUCAUUGAUUCUCCAGAACUAAGUCAUGAUUUGAUAUCACAACAAAAAAGUGGAAAUGCAUGGCAGCUGACUUGCUGAAGAACAAGACACACAUCACUGUCUGCUAGACAAGUUUCAGAUCACUGGUGGCCAGUGCCAACAUGCUAUAAUCCCCACACAAUAAGUCCAGCAGUCCUGAGCAAGAUGCUGGAGUUGAAAAUGGAUGCCCAGGAGAGUUACACACAAAGAAGGCUAACAUUGUCCAGUCCAGAAGCCGAGCCAG